UCGUUUGUAGUCCAACGGUCAGGAUAAUUGCCUUCCGAGCAAUGAACCUGGGUUUGACUCCCUGCAAAUGCA
rnacentral:tRNA from 1 species